UUAACUUCCGUCAACUACCCU
rnacentral:siRNA from 1 species